UGGGGAAUUUUGGACAAUGGGGGCAACCCUGAUCCAGCCAUUCCGCGUGAGUGAAGAAGGCCUUCGGGUUGUAAAGCUCUUUCGCGAGGGAAGAAAACUUAUGAUCGAAUAAAUCAUGAGGUUGACGGUACCUUGAUAAGAAGCACCGGCUAACUACGUGCCAGCAGCCGCGGUAAUACGUAGGGUGCGAGCGUUAAUCGGAAUUACUGGGCGUAAAGAACUCGUAGGUGGUUUGUUACGUCGGAUGUGAAACUCUGGGGCUCAACCCCAGACCUGCAUCCGAUACGGGCAGACUAGAGUGUGGUAGGGGAGACUGGAAUUCCUGGUGUAGCGGUGGAAUGCGCAGAUAUCAGGAGGAACACCAAUGGCGAAGGCAGGUCUCUGGGCCGACACUGACGCUCAUGCACGAAAGCGUGGGGAGCAAACAGG
rnacentral:rRNA from 1 species